rnacentral:rRNA from 1 species
UAACACGUGAGCAACCUGCCUUUCAGUGGGGGACAACAUUUGGAAACGAAUGCUAAUACCGCAUAAGACCACAGUGUCGCAUGGCACAGGGGUCAAAGGAUUUAUCCGCUGAAAGAUGGGCUCGCGUCCGAUUAGCUAGAUGGUGAGGUAACGGCCCACCAUGGCGACGAUCGGUAGCCGGACUGAGAGGUUGAACGGCCACAUUGGGACUGAGACACGGCCCAGACUCCUACGGGAGGCAGCAUG